AGGACGAACGCUGGCGGCGUGCCUAACACAUGCAAGUCGAACGGAGCGAAAGAAGCUUGCUUCUGGCGCUUAGUGGCGGACGGGUGAGUAACACGUGAGUAACCUGCCUUUCAGAGGGGAAUAAUGUCUGGAAACGGACACUAAUACCCCAUAAUGUAUUUAAUUCGCAUGGAUCGGAUACCAAAGGAGCAAUCCGCUGAAAGAUGGACUCGCGUUUGAUUAGCCAGUUGGCGGGGUAACGGCCCACCAAAGCGACGAUCAGUAGCCGGACUGAGAGGUUGAACGGCCACAUUGGGACUGAGACACGGCCCAGACUCCUACGGGAGGCAGCAGUGGGGGAUAUUGCACAAUGGGCGCAAGCCUGAUGCAGCCAACGCCGCGUGCAGGAAGACGGUCUUCGGAUUGUAAACUGUUGUCCUCUGUGACGAUAAUGACGGUAGCAGAGGAGGAAGCCACGGCUAACUACGUGCCAGCCGCCGC
rnacentral:rRNA from 1 species